AUUGAACGCUGGCGGAAUGCUUUACACAUGCAAGUCGAACGGCAGCACGGACUUCGGUCUGGUGGCGAGUGGCGAACGGGUGAGUAAUAUAUCGGAACGUACCUUAUCGUGGGGGAUAACGCAGCGAAGGCUGUGCUAAUACCGCAUACGCCCUGAGGGGGAAAGCGGGGGAUCGAAAGACCUCGCGCGAUUAGAGCGGCCGAUGCCUGAUUAGCUUGUUGGUGGGGUAAAAGCCCACCAAGGCGACGAUCAGUAGCUGGUCUGAGAGGACGAUCAGCCACACUGGGACUGAGACACGGCCCAGACUCCUACGGGAGGCAGCAGUGGGGAAUUUUGGACAAUGGGGGCAACCCUGAUCCAGCAAUGCCGCGUGAGUGAAGAAGGCCUUCGGGUUGUAAAGCUCUUUUGUCAGGGAAGAAACACCGGCUCUAACACAGUCCGGGAAUGACGGUACCUGAAGAAUAAGCACCGGCUAACUACGUGCCAGCCGCCGCCGUAA
rnacentral:rRNA from 1 species